UGGCGGGCAUGCCUGUUCGAGCGUCAUUUCAACCCUCGAGCCCCCCCGGGGGCCUCGGUGUUGGGGGACGGCACACCAGCCGCCCCCGAAAUGCAGUGGCGACCUCGGCGCAGCCUCCCCUGCGUAGUAGCACACACCUCGCACCGGAGCGCGGAG
rnacentral:rRNA from 1 species